rnacentral:ribozyme from 1 species
AACUGACAUAAUGACCAUAGCAGUAGCACUCAUGCUGCAGACCUGUCAAAUUCUAAUGAAUCUGUGAAUUCUGCU